GACGAACGCUGGCGGCGUGCUUAACACAUGCAAGUCGAACGGAAAGGCCUCUUUCGGGGGGUACUCGAGUGGCGAACGGGUGAGUAACACGUGAGUAACCUGCCCUUGACUUUGGGAUAACUUCAGGAAACUGGGGCUAAUACCGGAUAGGAGCUCCUGCUGCAUGGUGGGGGUUGGAAAGUUUCGGCGGUUGGGGAUGGACUCGCGGCUUAUCAGCUUGUUGGUGGGGUAGUGGCUUACCAAGGCUUUGACGGGUAGCCGGCCUGAGAGGGUGACCGGCCACAUUGGGACUGAGAUACGGCCCAGACUCCUACGGGAGGCAGCAGUGGGGAAUAUUGCACAAUGGGUGGAAGCCUGAUGCAGCAACGCCGUGUGCGGGAGGACGGCCUUCGGGUUGUAAACCGCUUUCGCUCAUGACGAAGCUUUGUGUGACGGUAGUGAGUAAAGAAGCACCGGCUAACUACGUG
rnacentral:rRNA from 1 species